GCAAAGUCAGGGCCAGCAGGCGGGUGAAUGGAGAAGGUGGAAGGGGUAAUCGGAAUUACUGGGCGUAAAGCGGGCGUAGGGGGUUUAUUAAGGCAAAGGUGAAAUCCCCGGGCUUAACCUGGGAAUUGCAUGUGAUACUGGUAGGCUAGAGUGUGGGAGAGGAGGGUAGAAUUCCAGGUGUAGCGGUGAAAUGCGUAGAGAUCUGGAGGAAUACCGAUGGCGAAGGCAGCCACCUGGACUAAGACUGACGCUGAGGUGCGAAAGCAUGGGGAGCAAACAGGAUUAGAUACCCUGGUAGUC
rnacentral:rRNA from 1 species